GUGUUCCAUUUAACAACAUAUGUACUAAAAUUGAAAUAAUACAAAGAACAUUACCAGAGCAUUUGCUUAGGAUGAAACACAAAUUUGUAAAAUGAUCCAUAUUUUU
ensembl:snRNA U6 U6 spliceosomal RNA